UGACUACCUUAUUAGCUGCAAAUUACUACAGCUAUUACAUUGUUAAGUUGAACCAAAUUUUCUUUGGCUGAAAUUGUUAAAUUACCUAAAGAUUAUAUUAUAUGCCAGUUAUAAAUGGUCAUUAUAGUUUGUUGCUGCAUUCAUUAAUUUUGUUAAUACUUAGAAAAUUUGUAGACAUUUGCUUAGAAGUUGUGCAAACACGAUUUUUUUGCAAAACUAUAAUAUGGAAAUUGGUUCAAUAUGGUUUCUAUUUAGAGGCUAUGCAGAUUUAUUAUAUAUAAUAGUAGAAGCCUUUAAGGAGGUACUGCCACAUUAGGAAAAAAGGCCACUUAAAAUGCUGCCAUGUUUACAAUGAAGAAGCGAAAAGUUAUAUUUCUUGACAACUUGACACCGUUUGAUUUUCUAUGAGUAUAUAAAAAAAACGGUUAAAAUAAAAUUAAAAAAAAAAAAAAAAAGAGGCUUGCAACUAAAAAAACACGAGCGAUACAGAGAAAGGGAAGGAGAGAAAAAAAAAGCUUGCGAUACAGGGGAAAGACAGAGUUCAUGCGGCCGGCCAUCACCAUCCCUUGCCAGACUUAGACCACCGGAACCGGCACCAGUAACCUAAAGGUGCAUGCAGGAAUUGAGAUGCGGAGAUAGAGAGAACUACCACCGGUAUUUGGGUUACAUUUGGUUUGGAUUUUAAAAGAGAAGAGAGGCUAUGGUGAUUUUCUCUUAAUGGGAUUUCGCCAGAAUCAUCUGACUGUUGGGAAGACAAUACGGUAUAAACCUCCCCCUUUGCAGUUGGUUGGCCAAUCAUUAAUUCUAUUAAGGAUUGGAUUUAGAAUGUCAGUGCAUUUGCAUCAAGUAGAAUUCAUGUAUGUAAUUUCAGCCAAUCUGAUGUAGAUAUGGGAAUAAGGAAAAAGUAUACCACUAAUGCUUGGGAAGCCUAAGUAUACCACUGAUAAUAUAGCAGUCCUAUAGUUAUGCCAGAUUAUUUUUGUCCAAGAUCAGUAUUAUGCAGAAGCAGCAUGUUGAUUCAUUGGUCUGGAAUCCAUGGGAUAAGAAAUCAAAAUCAAUGGUAGAUUUUGGUGAUAAGGAGUACAAACAGAUGCUUUGUGUUGAUGGAGCAGCAAUUGAGAAACCUAUCACUUUGAAGCCAGAGGAGGAAUGGACAGGGCGAUUGCAGCUCUCAAUUGUGCCUUCAAGUUUCUGUAGCGAGUACCUCAAUCUUUAGGAGAGGUCCUUUGAGGAAUGCUACAAAAUUUCAAGAGCACAAUGUGGUUCUUUUGUUCUUUUUCUGUCCUUAUAGGAACCUUAGUUAAUCUUAUGUAAUAGCUCUCAACUCUUUUUUGAUAAAAUAAUAGCUCUCAAGUUGUAGAAAUUGUGCAAUGAUACUUAAGAUGUACUUAGUACUUUGUAAUACCUCAGACUAUAGAGGAUAGAGGAUUGUGGGAGAGCCGCAUUUUUAAUUGAAUGGCUGCCUCAGGAAAGUGGGUACCAAACCAA